rnacentral:rRNA from 1 species
AGUGAACGCUGGCGGUAGGCCUAACACAUGCAAGUCGAACGGCAGCACAGAGGAGCUUGCUCCUUGGGUGGCGAGUGGCGGACGGGUGAGGAAUACAUCGGAAUCUACUCUGUCGUGGGGGAUAACGUAGGGAAACUUACGCUAAUACCGCAUACGACCUACGGGUGAAAGCAGGGGACCUUCGGGCCUUGCGCGAUUGAAUGAGCCGAUGUCGGAUUAGCUAGUUGGCGGGGUAAAGGCCCACCAAGGCGACGAUCCGUAGCUGGUCUGAGAGGAUGCUCAGCCACACUGGAACUGAGACACGGUCCAGACUCCUACGGGAGGCAGCAGUGGGGAAUAUUGGACAAUGGGCGCAAGCCUGCUCCAGCCAUACCGCGUGGGUGAAGAAGGCCUUCGGGUUGUAAAGCCCUUUUGUUGGGAAAGAAAUCCAGCUGGCUAAUACCCGGUUGGGAUGACGGUACCCAAAGAAUAAGCACCGGCUAACUUCGUGCCAGCCGCCGCAGUAA